rnacentral:tRNA from 1 species
GCGGCCGUGGUCUAGCGGUAGGACAGGAGCCCCCCAAGCUCCUAACCCGGGUUCGAAUCCCGGCGGUCGCA